rnacentral:telomerase_RNA from 1 species
AUGAGGAAGAUGCGUCGCCUAUUAAAAUGUCUGGCGGCUGUUACAUUUGCUUUCUAGCACUUUUCUAUUCUCGUUUCCUUUUUUUGUACCUUCCCCUUUUGAAUUUUCCAUCGUAUAAGCCUCAGAAAUUUGGUAGACACUUAAUGAUGAAUAGGUUGGGUUAGAUUUGAUUUGAGAUCUUGAGUCACCAGGCAGUCCCAAUUUUUUUUACGAAAUAUUAGGAGUGUGCUGAUGUCAGCAUAGAUGAUGUAUUAUACAUGUUUUGUGUGGUUUGCUAUAUUUCUACUUAUAGAUGGCUAAAAUCUGAGUUUGAGAGCAGCAUGCCACAGAUGCUUGGAUUUUACUAUUGGAUUUUGCUGCCGGAAUAGGGCUUUCGGGACACUUAUUCCUUUGCUUAAGACCAACUCUGUUUUCGCCUUUGCCCCUUCAUCAUUAUACAAAAUGUCUACCAUUACCACACCCACACAUUGAUAUUAUGACUAAUUGUUUAUUAGCUAAGUUCCCAUGGCCACUUUUUACUUUUUUCUCAUUUUCUUAUUUUUAUUAUAUUUUCUGUCACUUCUGAAGUGACGGAAAAGAGGAGUUUGAAUUAGAUUUGCAAAACGGGCGGUAUCAAGAAUACUGUCACUCUAUAUGUCUAAUUUAUCGUCAACUCUGCAAAAAGAAAAUAGGAAGAAGAAAAUAGGCGGAUAAGAGUAUAUAGAGAAAUGAUUUAUUCUAUUUUUUUUUUUCUUUUUCGUUUUUCAGUAGAUUUUUGCCUUUCGAGAGAAUAAAUUCCACUAAAAAGGGUUAAAGAAAAAUCUAUUCACUGAACUUAUUGAUGAAAACUUUAAAUGCGUCAAGUACAUCAAAAGAGGAAACAGAGGGAAAGAACCAGGUUGGCAAACAAGCAAAAAGGCAAGGACGAACCUUCCUCAAGCACUGAAUGUUUUGCGAGUGAAUGGUAAGCGCGAGAAAUGAUGAUACAAGUUGAAAAGACAUAAUUUGAGAUUUUUCAAAAUAGAUUAUUUUAGACAUCCUACUUUAAUCAUUUUUGAUGAAUCAAUACGGUAUUUUUGUCGCUUCCUUAUUACAGUAAUGCAGACAUUAACUUCUGAGCGGAAGGAACCGUGUGUUCAGUUUAUGGAUUUUCGUGUAAAGCGUUUUUUCGGUUGCGAUAGCAGUUACUUACUUUCCUCGAUGCCUUUGAUGCAUUCAGAUAAUUUUUGGAACAUUU